CGACUUGGAGGUUGGGCCCUUGAGGCGUGGCUUCCGGAGCUAACGCGUUAAGUCGACCGCCUGGGGAGUACGGCCGCAAGGUUAAAACUCAAAUGAAUUGACGGGGGCCCGCACAAGCGGUGGAGCAUGUGGUUUAAUUCGAUGCAACGCGAAGAACCUUACCUACUCUUGACAUCCAGAGAACUUUCCAGAGAUGGAUUGGUGCCUUCGGGAACUCUGAGACAGGUGCUGCAUGGCUGUCGUCAGCUCGUGUUGUGAAAUGUUGGGUUAAGUCCCGCAACGAGCGCAACCCUUAUCCUUUGUUGCCAGCGGUCCGGCCGGGAACUCAAAGGAGACUGCCAGUGAUAAACUGGAGGAAGGUGGGGAUGACGUCAAGUCAUCAUGGCCCUUACGAGUAGGGCUACACACGUGCUACAAUGGCGCAUACAAAGAGAAGCGACCUCGCGAGAGCAAGCGGACCUCAUAAAGUGCGUCGUAGUCCGGAUUGGAGUCUGCAACUCGACUCCAUGAAGUCGGAAUCGCUAGUAAUCGUAGAUCAGAAUGCUACGGUGAAUACGUUCCCGGGCCUUGUACACACCGCCCGUCACACCAUGGGAGUGGGUUGCAAAAGAAGUAGGUAGCUUAAACUUCGGGAGGGCGCUUACCACUUUGUGAUUCAUGACUGGGGUGAAGUCGUAACAAGGUACC
rnacentral:rRNA from 1 species